CCAGACUCCUACGGGAGGCAGCAGUGGGGAAUAUUGGGCAAUGGGCGCAAGCCUGACCCAGCAACGCCGCGUGAAGGAAGAAGGCUUUCGGGUUGUAAACUUCUUUUCUCAGGGACGAAGAAAGUGACGGUACCUGAGGAAUAAGCCACGGCUAACUACGUGCCAGCAGCCGCGGUAAUACGUAGGUGGCAAGCGUUAUCCGGAUUUAUUGGGUGUAAAGGGCGUGUAGGCGGGACUGCAAGUCAGAUGUGAAAGCCACGGGCUCAACCUGUGGCCUGCAUUUGAAACUGUAGUUCUUGAGUACUGGAGAGGCAGACGGAAUUCCUAGUGUAGCGGUGAAAUCCGUAGAUAUCUGGAGGAACAUCAGUGGCGAAGGCGGCCACCUGGACCGGUAUUGACGCUGAGGCGCGAAAGCGUGGGGAGCAAACAGGAUUAGAUACCCUGGUA
rnacentral:rRNA from 1 species